UAGAUCUGUUGCCUUCAACUUUCCCUGU
rnacentral:piRNA from 1 species